AAAAAGGGCGCUCGUCUUUGCACUUACUUAUAUGCAAAAGAUCACAGAACAUUGUUCUGUGUGCGGACGCAUUGCGGCGUUGCUGUUCAAUCGAUUGAACUAGACAAUUGCUUGCUGUUUGGCGGCGGCAUUGUUUUUGUAGUUCAUGUGAACGGUUCAAUGCUCCAGUGGGGUAUGGCUUUGCAUAUCCAGUGCAUAAUUUUUGUAAAGAUGAGAAUUGUGGCUGCCGUAAACGAAAUUUGGAUAGCAAUCGAUCGGAUGUGAUUGAUUAGCGUGCCAAUUUCGG